rnacentral:tRNA from 1 species
GGUAGGUGGCGUGGGUGCGCCGGCUGGUCAGCGUCCAGCCGGUGAGGUUGACCGCGCGGCGUCCGGUGUUCUUCACCGUGACCCACUC